rnacentral:rRNA from 1 species
UACGUAGGGGGCAAGCGUUGUCCGGAAUCAUUGGGCGUAAAGAGCGUGUAGGCGGCCCGGUAAGUCCGCUGUAAAAGUCAAAGGCUUAACCUUUGAAUGUCAGUGGAUACUGCCGGGCUAGAGUCCGGAAGAGGCGAGUGGAACUCCUGGUGUAGCGGUGGAAUGCGCAGAUAUCAGGAAGAACACCAACGGCGAAGGCAGCUCGCUAGGACGGUACUGACGCUGAGACGCGAAAGCGUGGGGGAGCGAACAGG